rnacentral:rRNA from 1 species
UUGACCUCGAAUCAGGUAGGGAUACCCGCUGAACUUAAGCAUAUCAAUAAGCGGAGGAAAAGAAACCAACCGGGAUUACCUCAGUAACGGCGAGUGAAGCGGUAACAGCUCAAAUUUGAAAUCUGGCUCCUGCGGAGUCCGAGUUGUAAUUUGUAGAAGAUGCUUUGGGAGGUAGGGCCGGCCUAAGUUCCUUGGAACAGGACAUCAGAGAGGGUGAGAAUCCCGUAUGCGGCCGCGGCCUACGCCCGUGUAAAGCUCUUUCGACGAGUCGAGUUGUUUGGGAAUGCAGCUCAAAAUGGGUGGUAAAUUUCAUCUAAAGCUAAAUAUUGGCCAGAGACCGAUAGCGCACAAGUAGAGUGAUCGAAAGAUGAAAAGCACUUUGGAAAGAGAGUUAAACAGUACGUGAAAUUGUUGAAAGGGAAGCGCUUGCACCCAGACUUGGGCGUCGUCGAUCAUCCGAGGUUCUCCUCGGUGCACUCGACGAUGCACAGGCCAGCAUCGGUUUGGGUGGUUGGAGAAAGGCUCUAGGAACGUAGCUCUCUUCGGGGAGUGUUAUAGCCUAGGGCGUAAUGCAGCCCAUCCGGACCGAGGACCGCGCCUUCGGGCUAGGAUGCUGGCGUAAUGGUUGCAAGCGACCCGUCUUGAAACACGGACCAAGGAGUCUAACAUCUAUGCGAGUGUUUGGGCGUUAAACCCAUAC